UAAUCGGGGUUGCGGACAGUGUCUGGUGGGUAGUUUGACUGGGGCGGUCUCCUCCUAAAGAGUAACGGAGGAGCACGAAGGUUAGCUAAUCCUGGUCGGACAUCAGGAGGUUAGUGCAAAGGCAUAAGCUAGCUUGACUGCGAGCGUGACGGCGCGAGCAGGUGCGAAAGCAGGUCUUAGUGAUCCGGUGGUUCUGAAUGGAAGGGCCAUCGCUCAACGGAUAAAAGGUACUCCGGGGAUAACAGGCUGAUACCGCCCAAGAGUUCAUAUCGACGGCGGUGUUUGGCACCUCGAUGUCGGCUCAUCACAUCCUGGGGCUGAAGUAGGUCCCAAGGGUAUGGCUGUUCGCCAUUUAAAGUGGUACGCGAGCUGGGUUUAGAACGUCGUGAGACAGUUCGGUCCCUAUCUGCCGUGGGCGCUGGAGAAUUGAGGGGGGCUGCUCCUAGUACGAGAGGACCGGAGUGGACGCAUCACUGGUGUUCGGGUUGUCAUGCCAAUGGCACUGCCCGGUAGCUAAAUGCGGAAAAGAUAAGUGCUGAAAGCAUCUAAGCACGAAACUUGCCCCGAGAUGAGUUCUCCCUGACCCUUUAAGGGUCCUGAAGGAACGUUGAAGACGACGACGUUGAUAGGCCGGGUGUGUAAGCGCAGCGAUGCGUUGAGCUAACCGGUACUAAUGAACCGUGAGGCUUAACCUU
rnacentral:rRNA from 1 species